GUGCUCACUUCAGCAGCACAUAUACUAAAACUGGAAUGAUACAGAGAUUAGCAUGGCCCCUGUGCAAGGAUGACAUGCAAAUUCACAAAGUGUUCCAUACAUUU